rnacentral:rRNA from 1 species
CGAGCGAGAAGGAAGCAAUUCCUGUAAAGCGGCGCACGGGUGAGUAACACGUAGGUAAUCUACCUCGAAGUGGUGGAUAACCUUCCGAAAGGAGGGCUAAUACAGCAUGAGACCACGGUUUCGAAAGAGAUUGAGGUCAAAGCGGGCCACUAUACAUAAGCUCGCGCUUCGAGAUGAGCCUGCGGCCCAUCAUGGUAGUUGGUAGGGUAAUGGCCUACCAAGCCGAAGACGGGUAGCUGGUCUGAGAGGAUGAUCAGCCACACUGGAACUGAGACACGGUCCAGACUCCUACGGGAGGCAGCAGUGGGGAAUCUUGCGCAAUGGGCGAAAGCCUGACGCAGCGACGCCGCGUGAGUGAUGAAGGCCUUCGGGUUGUAAAGCUCUGUGGAGGGGGACGAAUAAGGGUUGGCUAACAUCCAGCUCGAUGACGGUACCCCUUUAGCAAGCACCGGCUAACUCUGUGCCAGCAGCCGCGGUAAGACAGAGGGUGCAAACGUUGUUCGGAAUUACUGGGC